rnacentral:rRNA from 1 species
GACGAACGCUGGCGGCGUGCUUAACACAUGCAAGUCGAACGGAAAGGCCCUGCUUUUGUGGGGUGCUCGAGUGGGGAACGGGUGAGUAACACGUGAGUAACCUGCCCUUGACUUUGGGAUAACUUCAGGAAACUGGGGCUAAUACCGGAUAGGAGCUCCUGCUGCAUGGUGGGGGUUGGAAAGUUUCGGCGGUUGGGGAUGGACUCGCGGCUUAUCAGCUUGUUGGUGGGGUAGUGGCUUACCAAGGCUUUGACGGGUAGCCGGCCUGAGAGGGUGACCGGCCACAUUGGGACUGAGAUACGGCCCAGACUCCUACGGGAGGCAGCAGUGGGGAAUAUUGCACAAUGGGCGGAAGCCUGAUGCAGCAACGCCGCGUGCGGGAUGACGGCCUUCGGGUUGUAAACCGCUUUCGCCUGUGACGAAGCGUGAGUGACGGUAAUGGGUAAAGAAGCACCGGCUAACUACGUGCCAGCAGCCGCGGUGAUACGUAGGGUGCGAGCGUUGUCCGGAUUUAUUGGGCGUAAAGGGCUCGUAGGUGGUUGAUCGCGUCGGAAGUGUAAUCUUGGGGCUUAACCCUGAGCGUGCUUUCGAUACGGGUUGACUUGAGGAAGGUAGGGGAGAAUGGAAUUCCUGGUGGAGCGGUGGAAUGCGCAGAUAUCAGGAGGAACACCAGUGGCGAAGGCGGUUCUCUGGGCCUUUCCUGACGCUGAGGAGCGAAAGCGUGGGGAGCGAACAGGCUUAGAUACCCUGGUAGUCCACGCUGUAAACGGUGGGUACUAGGUGUGGGGUCCAUUCCACGGGUUCCGUGCCGUAGCUAACGCUUUAAGUACCCCGCCUGGGGAGUACGGCCGCAAGGCUAAAACUCAAAGGAAUUGACGGGGCCCCGCACAAGCGGCGGAGCAUGCGGAUUAAUUCGAUGCAACGCGUAGAACCUUACCUGGGUUGACAUGGAUCGGGAGUGCUCAGAGAUGGGUGUGCCUCUUUUGGGGUCGGUUCACAGGUGGUGCAUGGCUGUCGUCAGCUCGUGUCGUGAGAUGUUGGGUUAAGUCCCGCAACGAGCGCAACCCUUGUUCACUGUUGCCAGCACGUUAUGGUGGGGACUCAGUGGAGACCGCCGGGGUCAACUCGGAGGAAGGUGGGGAUGACGUCAAGUCAUCAUGCCCCUUAUGUCCAGGGCUUCACGCAUGCUACAAUGGCUGGUACAGAGAGUGGCGAGCCUGUGAGGGUGAGCGAAUCUCGGAAAGCCGGUCUCAGUUCGGAUUGGGGUCUGCAACUCGACCUCAUGAAGUCGGAGUCGCUAGUAAUCGCAGAUCAGCAACGCUGCGGUGAAUACGUUCCCGGGGCU